rnacentral:rRNA from 1 species
UGAGGAAUAUUGGUCAAUGGGCGCAAGCCUGAACCAGCCAUGCCGCGUGCAGGACGACGCAUCUAUGGUGUGUAAACUGCUUUUAUACAGGAAGAAACCCUACCACGCGUGGUAGAUUGACGGUACUGUAGGAAUAAGGAUCGGCUAACUCCGUG